GGAGGCGGGGGAGAGGCCGCGCCCCGCCCUGGGGCAGCGGGGCACCGCGGGACUGCGCGGCUGUGCGGGUCUCCCCUCCUCGGAGUUGUCCCACUCCCUCCCUGUAAUACUGGCCGAUUACACGGAGACUCUCGGAACCGCAAAAACUCCAGACUAGCCCCGGUCCGCGCCCCGCACUCUCCGCCCGCCGUGGCCCGAAGUGUCCGUGCCCGCGCUCCUGCAGCCGAGCGCGGGUCCCGGCGCAGCGGGGCUGUGGGCAGUGCCGCAGCGGCACCUCGGGCAUGAGGGGUGCCCGGGCUCACAGCGCUUGGUAGUGGCUGCGCCCUCGUUCAGUGCAUCCUCCGAGGACCUCCAGCUCUAGUGGGACGGAAAAUGUGCUCCAUGGAGGUGGUGUCCCUGAAGUCACUUGAGGUUUGGAAAUGCUUCUUCAGUGGUGACAGAGCACCUUUAGCAAACCGCUCAGCUGAGCUACAGAAAGGUUGGUCAGGGUUUUUCAAAUCAGCUGUACUAAUUUGGAGUAAGGAGUAACCUAGCUUUCUGAGUGGAAAGUUGAGGAACAGCUGUUGAACACUUUCUUCAAAGUAACAAUCAAUGGCAAGGCAAGUCUUGGAGAGGAUUCCUAGGUUCCAACUAUGAGCAUGAUAUGAAUACUUCACACAGGUAAGGCUUCAGCUGACUUCUGACAUGAAGGAAAUAUCUGGACCAAUUGAAACAACCAGAUGAAAGAAUAAAGAGACAGUGCCCUGCUCCAAAGGCCUCUGGCUGGGAAAGGCUGUAUUUCAAAGGGAUCCUACCAGUACCAAUGCCAUGGCAUUGGAGUAAUCGCUGCCCAAGUGGGAGUCAGACUGACAGAGGGAGGCUUAAGCUCCCCAAAGGAUGGCCCCAUCGUGUGACAGCGGAGGAAACUGCACCCACGUGGGAAUGCACCCGGGAGCACAAAGCCUGCUUUCUCAGCAGGUGGUCCUCUGCCAGUGAUUCAAUUUAUGCUAGCUAAAAAAAAAAAAUCCGGAGCAGUUCUUGGACAAAGACCUGGGAUUAGCAAGUGAAAGAUAGCCUUCCUUUUAACCCCUUUUGCCACUUCUACACGAAACGCUGCCUUGUGCCCCAGAACUCCACUGCCUUGCAUGGAAGUGGGGGACUGCGGGGUAAGUGGCAGCGCACAGGGUGUUUGAAAUAAAGGUUUAAUUGUGGCAGGAUUUCAGAUUCUCAUUGAUUCAAGCGCCGUGCCCUUUUGACAGUGGGGGUUUGUUAAUUCCAUCACCCCUGUACAUCUAAGUCAGUUACACAUUUUCAUUUCCAAACCAAGCAGUUAAAAUUGGUAACAAUUUAAAAGUUAGUUUUAAUGAAAUAAAACUGACCUCAACUCAACUAGCUCACCUUCUCUGGCUAGUGUUAUUUACUGUGGUGUGCACUCAGAAGCUGUUGAGCUGUGUGUGGCUUGCACCAUAUGGCUGCAUCUGGGGAGCCUUGACACUCACACGCCAGAGAUGCUACCUCACUUCCUUCCUCCCUCACUUCCUUCCUCCCCCGCUCCAAACCCAGCUUUUCUUCUGCUGUUCUUUCCACAUCCUCUCCCAGUGCUCAAAUCCUUCCUUCGUUUUCCAGUGUAUUAACUGUCUCCACCCUGGAGACCUCCCCUCUUUGGUGCCUCUUUGGAUGCCUCCAGCUCCUGCUCGUGUCCCUUCUGGGACCUAUGUCACUGUCCCCCUUUCUGGUGCGGCAGAAGUAACUCCCAUUCCCACUGCCGGCCCACACAAAAUAAAAUACAGAAGUGGCCCAGUGGUGCACAGGAUCCAGCUUGGAGAGAGUUAACUUGCUUCAGCUUAUAUGCCA